rnacentral:miRNA from 1 species
UAUUGGAUCUCAGUUGAACCGGUC